AGCAGUGGGGAAUUUUGGACAAUGGGCGCAAGCCUGAUCCAGCAAUGCCGCGUGAGUGAAGAAGGCCUUCGGGUUGUAAAGCUCUUUUGUCAGGGAAGAAACGGUGAGGGCUAAUAUCUCUUGCUAAUGACGGUACCUGAAGAAUAAGCACCGGCUAACUACGUGCCAGCAGCCGCGGUAAUACGUAGGGUGCAAGCGUUAAUCGGAAUUACUGGGCGUAAAGCGUGCGCAGGCGGUUUUGUAAGUUUGUCGUGAAAGCCCCGGGCUCAACCUGGGAAUUGCGAUGAAGACUGCAAGGCUUGAAUCUGGCAGAGGGGGGUAGAAUUCCACGUGUAGCAGUGAAAUGCGUAGAGAUGUGGAGGAACACCGAUGGCGAAGGCAGCCCCCUGGGUCAAGAUUGACGCUCAUG
rnacentral:rRNA from 1 species